AUGAAUUGCCUGAUUAAAGGAUUACUUUGAUAGAGUAAAUCAUGUAGUUAUACUACAUUCAUAA
rnacentral:tRNA from 1 species